GAUGAACGCUGGCGGCGUGCCUAAUACAUGCAAGUCGAGCGAACGGACGAGAAGCUUGCUUUUCUGAUGUUAGCGGCGGACGGGUGAGUAACACGUGGAUAACCUACCUAUAAGACUGGGAUAACUUCGGGAAACCGGAGCUAAUACCGGAUAAUAUUUUGAACCGCAUGGUUCAAAAGUGAAAGACGGUCUUGCUGUCACUUAUAGAUGGAUCCGCGCUGCAUUAGCUAGUUGGUAAGGUAACGGCUUACCAAGGCAACGAUGCAUAGCCGACCUGAGAGGGUGAUCGGCCACCAUGGAACUGAGACACGGUCCAGACUCCUACGGGAGGCAGCAGGAGGGAAUCUUCCGCAAUGGGCGAAAGCCUGACGGAGCAACGCGGCGUGAGUGAUGAAGGUCUUCGGAUCGUAAAACUCUGUUAUUAGGGAAGAACAUAUGUGUAAGUAACUGUGCACAUCUUGACGGUACCUAAUAAGAAAGCCACGGCUAACUACGU
rnacentral:rRNA from 1 species